AUUUUCUAAUUUGUACAGUGUACAGUUGGACCAAGUCUUAUAGCUGUAUAUUUAUAAAAUUGUACUUCUUUAGGUUUUUGUUAAAAAUAAGAAAUAAAUAAAGACUUUUACAUUGCUUUAUAACUUUGAUUUUAUAUGGUUUAUAUAACAUAUUUACUUCCUUCAUGACUGGAAUUCACUGUGUUGGUAAUCCUUUGCACGCAAUAAGCUCCAAACCCUGCCCGGUUUUAAUGCAACCUUGACAAGGCUGGCAAUAAUUAAUCAGUUAAUUAUGACCAGUUAUAUUUAGUCACAAUCUUGUCAUUUUAGACAUUUAAAAAGCUUAUAGGCUACUAAUUGUGCAUUUACACAUUUGCAGUGAUGAACCAUAAUUAAAUAUUAUUCUUCCUUACCUUUCAGGUUUUUGGCUGGUUCUAGGAAUAGGUGACUGGAUGACCUACUUAACGUUGUCCUUAGUAAAGCUGAUGAUUACUUCACUGUGAUAAAAGCCCUGCAGGAUGCUGAUCGUGUCAAGAAUCCAAUAGUCAAUGGGUCCCAGGAACUGGAGCUCUUCUGAGUGCGAUCUGUACAAAAAUAUAGAAUAUGUCUAGAUUUUAAUCUGUAUCACACUCACUCUCACACACAUACCUAAAACUCCAUAUUGUUCUACACAGCUUUUUCCUUCAAGAAUGUUUUCUGCAAACUGUAUCAAUAAAAAACAAGCAUGAUUAAUGAGAAAUUCUUAAUAAAGUGAGUAAACAUUGCA